AUUAUAUAUUUAAAAUAUAUAAAAUAUAUAUAUUUACUUAUUUUGCAAUAAAUGUAACAUUUUGUUUCUAUAUACACACUCAACGUCUUUAAAUCAAUAGUUUAAUCUGUCAUUCGCAAUGCUUCUUGGGAUUGCAGUACUUUUCAUCGUGCACCCAUUUUGUUUAAAAUAAAACGCAAAGCUGAUUGAGGGAAUUAUAACGCUUUACUUUUGAAAAAUGAAUGGAAAAAUACUCCAGAAAAUCAAGGCAGCUGAAAAAGUGGACACUGUUGAACUCAAUUUGCUGCAGAGUCUGCCGCCAACCAAUGAAAGAUUGAACUUUUCUUUAAUUAGGCUCGAUGGCAACUAGAAGCUGUUCGUCCUAACAUAAGAAACGUGUUGGAAUAAACAGAAAUUUCUUUGGCGUCUCAAAACCGUAGCAAGUUAAAGAACUAGUUUCAGGCUCACUAAAACAGCCCUCAACAUCCAUUAAUAUAGUGACUAACGUGUGUCUCCUCCCAAUUAGUGACAUUUGUUAAAUAGUUCAAGCACAUUAUGAAAAUAUUGUCAUUGGUGUUACAACGAACCUUUUCGUCGGGACUCUGAAGACCGAUUUUAGUUGUUUUUCUACCGUUUAAUCAUUUAGUAAAGGACUUAAAUGCUCUUGUCUCAUUGUAUUACUGCUUCAACGGAAUAACCUAUUGAAUAUUGUUUAUUUCAGAUACAACUGAACUGUAUGUAUUUCUGUUAAUAAAAGUCAUUAUUCCGUAGCCAGUAUGGUUUAUGGCCAGCUGAGAUUUAUUGGGUCGCAUAUGAGGCCCGUGUAGCGAUUCAGUCUUUUCAUCUAGGUAAGACUAAAACUGGAGGCCAGCCUUUGCCGUCAUCAGGCAUUGGCUCUAGUGCUCCAUAUUAAUGACAUUUCUUUGCAUCAGACAUGUGGGGAUGUCAAUAUUUUCCCAACCAUAUGUUGUCUUUAUUCUUAAAAUAUGUUUAGAGCUUUGUUCCAAUACUUUUAGUGAUCAAAUAAGACGGAUCUAUACCUUAGCUGUGUCCACUACUACGUCAUUGGAUUCUCCAGGGCUACUCCAGAGAUGUAGAAACCCAGCUGAAAAUCCAUAGGAUAAACGCACCAGGUUUGUAGAAAUGCUUUAUACACCAGACAUUGCAUCGGGUGUGUCUUUAACAUACUUUGGAUCCACCUGGAACGAAAUCAGGUAUUUGUGAGUCGUUAACGUAAAGCGUGCAUGCAACUUUAUUUCAGCAUUUCCUAAAUUCUAGCUGUGAAUAGCGUUAACUGGCGGUGACCAUGUAACAUAGAGGAAAAGUGGAAAUUAGAACAUGCUCUGUAGUUCAAUGUGGUGAUUGUGGUCUAUGUAGUUAUGUCUUAAUCCAAUAUUUUAGCCGAUUUCCAGUUUAAGGUCAAACCGGAGAACGGAGCUUAUAGUUCCUGUAUACUUGACGCAUUAGUUCCAGAUAUUAAUGACAUCAAAUGCAAAGGAGAUCAGCAUUUAUUAAGCAAGAGAGAACGCAAUGGAAGGAUUUAAAUAAAAUCUCACUUUUAAGCGCGGCUGCUUGAUGAACCUCUGCUGCAGCUGUGAAUCCAGAUGCUCUGAAAGAUGAAGAAAGAACUCCAGUGAGUUUGAGUUUGCAUAUGAACGCAUAUGCCAGAUUCCCGUGGACCUCCGAGAGGCAAGAUGCUCAUGGUAAGAUUUUGUACGUUAAGCCCUGACAAUGAAUGUCUUGCAUUUCAGUGAUUUGAAAUCAAAAUA